UCGUGCUAACUUGCUUUCACCUCAUUUGUCACUUACUGUCAUCCAAAGCCUACAAAACUAACAUCGGUCAUUUUCAAAUUUGGGGCCGGUGUUUUGGCUUUAUGUUUGGCUGUAGUAUCUCUGAUAGCGGUGUAACCUGACUAUGGAAGGGCAUGGGACCCGUGAGGGACGCGGCAGGAGCGCUACUAGUCAAGAUAACCAAGUUACAGCUGUUGAUGCACUUGCAGGUGCUCUCGUUAAUGUUGUGAGGCAGUCUUUAAGGUCAGGAAUGGAACCAUCAACAAGUCAAGAAGCUACUAGACCAGUCACAGAAUUCCAAAGAGCUGCGAAGAGACCAAAACUAUCUCCCCCAUCAUUGUUUAAUUCCCGCCAGGUUCACCCUUAUCAAUCAAGGAAAAGAAAGGAAACCGCUAGGUCCACUCCCAAAGUAACUAACUAUGUUCGAGAUAUCAUACUGUUACCUGAUGAGUUUGAGAAUGAAACUGGUAGUGUUUGUAUCCCACGAUCAAACAAUAGAGAAAUGCUUGGAAAAGCUGGUCUUGUUGGUAAAAUUGAACUUAGUUCAGAUAAGACAGAAGAUGAAGUAAGAACAGAAAUAUGUGAGCUAUUUGCUGUACCGAUGGGCCUAACUACUGAUAAUAUUAAAGACGGCAUCCGUUUUAAGUUUCAUUAUUUACAACGAGCUGGGUGCAACACAAGAUCAUUAUGUAAACCUACUGUGAAAGACACAUUUCAAUGGAAUGGAAAGCAAGUGGCGUCAUUGGCAAAAUCUGGUUCUUUCAUUUAUUUGUUGGCAGCUGAGCACCUUCCUGGUUGGACCAGAUUUGCGGAGAAAGAUGAAAUGGUAAAUGAGGAGGCCCAUGAAAUGAUAGAUAGUGAUUCAGAUGAUUUACCUAGACUUCCUGAAAGUUUUUUUAGUACACAUUCAUCACCAAGUCAAAGAAGUAAUGAUCAUGACAUUAUCAUAAUUGGUAGUACACCUGCCUCAGCACCACAAACACCAUCAACAGAUCAUCCAGCAUUUGAUGCCACUGAUACAUCUAGCCCUCAACCUUACACAAUUGAAUCUUCCGUCAGUUGCGAGCUAGGUACAAGUAGCAGUGGAUCAAACUCGACCGUGGCUGAUCUUGUAGCAAUGUUUGAUGGAGUACUCACUGAGCAGCAAGUGGCUGUCAUUUACCAGUUUUCAGGCUGUAAUCGCAUAUCAGCUUCAUCUUGCUUAUUGGAAGGUCCUCUUUUGUCUUCAAUUAUCAAUAUGUGCAAGCAGUAUUUUUCAGGCUUGCCAACCAAGAAACUGUUUGUAGAUUCAGAAAGUUAUUGGGAAGAUAUGGUAGCAGAGUACAAAGGGCAAGCGAAUAGUUUUUUCAAGCUCAGAAUAUCAAUAGUUAACCAGCCUGCCAUAGAUACAGGAGGUGUGCGUAGGCAAAUUUACACAAGUGUCUUCGAGUCAUUUGCUUCAAAUAAAUAUAUCCAUCUCUUUGAUGGGCCUUUAAAUUAUCUAAGACCCUCCUGCUCAGCUGAAGCUAAACUAUCUGGUUUGCUGAAAGUAUUGGGAUCAAUGAUUUCACACAGUUUUUGUCAAGAUGGUUUGGGCUUUCCAUACUUAUCACCCCUUUGCUAUUGGUACAUAGUUGGAGGAGAGGAAAAGGCAUUAGAAUACAGUUCUGUUGAUGAUAUACCAGCUGAUGCAGCUCAAGUCAUAACUUUGAUGAAUCAAUGUGUUUGUAAUGAAGAUUUAAGCAAUUUGAUGAGCAACGAGGUAGUGCAAGAUGUUUUCCAGCGAUGUAGUAUUACUCAAGUAUUGAAGAUGUCAAAUAAAGAUGUUAUUGCACAGUGUAUCAUUACUUAUGAAGCUGUUGAACGGAUUUCUAAAUCCCUUGAUCAGUUAUGUGAAGGAUUGAGUAACUUGGGCCUUUCAGAUGUUAUUCGUGCUUUUCCUCAUUUAUUUCUCAGUAUUUUUGUGUUCAGUGGUACAGUGACUUCACAAGAUGUUAUAGAUGCUGUGUACAUGCCAGACCCAGUAAAUAAAACAAUAUUGGCUCAUUUGAAACGAUAUAUUGUAUCUUUAUCGGAAGAUGAAUUGAAGAUGUUUUUAGUCCAUGCUACUGGAUCCACUUAUCCAAUAAAUAGGUCCAUUAGAGUAGAAGUAAAUGAGGAUAAUCGCUUCUCUUGUCAUACCUGCGCCAAGAUGUUAUCAGUCCCUCAAAGUUAUGACGAUUCUGAGGAUGGAUAUCUACAAUUUUCAGAAAAUUUUUCUGCUGUCAUAACAGACACAUCAUUUAAUACUGUAUAACUCAUAUUCUGUGUCCUGUCUCUCUCAAGCUUAGCAUUUAUGUUUCAGUACUGACAUCAUCAAGUAGUUCAUUCAAUCCAAUUCAAGUUUCAAGCUAUGAAGUAUUAUUGUUG
rnacentral:misc_RNA from 1 species